GACGAACGCUGGCGGCGUGCUUAACACAUGCAAGUCGAACGGAAAGGCCCUGCUUUUGUGGGGUGCUCGAGUGGCGAACGGGUGAGUAACACGUGAGUAACCUGCCCUUGACUUUGGGAUAACUUCAGGAAACUGGGGCUAAUACCGGAUAGGAGCUCCUGCUGCAUGGUGGGGGUUGGAAAGUUUCGGCGGUUGGGGAUGGACUCGCGGCUUAUCAGCUUGUUGGUGAGGUAGUGGCUUACCAAGGCUCUGACGGGUAGCCGGCCUGAGAGGGUGACCGGCCACAUUGGGACUGAGAUACGGCCCAGACUCCUACGGGAGGCAGCAGUGGGGAAUAUUGCACAAUGGGCGGAAGCCUGAUGCGGCAACGCCGCGUGCGGGAUGACGGCCUUCGGGUUGUAAACCGCUUUCGCCUGUGACGAAGCGUGAGUGACGGUAAUGGGUAAAGAAGCACCGGCUAACUACGUG
rnacentral:rRNA from 1 species